rnacentral:piRNA from 1 species
UCCCAAGGUGCUGGGAUUGCAAGCAUGAGC